GGAUAUGAGGGUAAUCUGGUGUGACAUCUGUCAUCCCAUUGAUCACCAGGGUUUAUUUGGCUGAUCUGGCUGCCUAGGUCAGUGUCCCCUUCUUCCUUCAGAGCUCUAUGUAAGUCCCCCCAGAAGCUGCAUGCUCAGUUGAAGAGGAUGACCUUCCUUGAACAGAGCAGGACUGGUCUUUAGUCAAGGGUAUAGGAGUACCUAUGCUCCCCUGCUAGAAUCUCCAAACAAGCACUCAAGAUCCUGAAUGUCUUGAUGUGACUCAAAGCCAUUAAAGUAAAUUGUGGCCACUAGGGUUUAAGAAAUUU
ensembl:misc_RNA 7SK 7SK RNA